rnacentral:rRNA from 1 species
UACAGAGGUCUCAAGCGUUGUUCGGAUUCAUUGGGCGUAAAGGGUGCGUAGGCGGCGCGGUAAGUCGGGUGUGAAAUCUCGGAGCUUAACUCCGAAACUGCAUUCGAUACUGCCGUGCUUGAGGACUGGAGAGGAGACUGGAAUUUACGGUGUAGCGGUGAAAAUGCGUAGAUAUCGUAAGGAAGACCAGUGGCGAAGGCGAGUUCCUGGACAGUUACUGACACUGAGCACGAAGGCCAGGGGGAGCAAA